rnacentral:rRNA from 1 species
UAGGGAAUCUUCCACAAUGGACGAAAGUCUGAUGGAGCAAUGCCGCGUGAGUGAUGAAGGUUUUCGGAUCGUAAAACUCUGUUGCGAGGGAAGAACAAGUACGAGAGUAACUGCUCGUACCUUGACGGUACCUCGUUAGAAAGCCACGGCUAACUACGUGCCCGCAGCCGCGGUAAUACGUAGGUGGCAAGCGUUGUCCGGAAUUAUUGGGCGUAAAGCGCGCGCAGGCGGCCUUUUAAGUCUGAUGUGAAAGCCCACGGCUUAACCGUGGAAGGUCAUUGGAAACUGGAAGGCUUGAGGAUAGAAGAGGAAAGUGGAAUUCCACGUGUAGCGGUGAAAUGCGUAGAGAUGUGGAGGAACACCAGUGGCGAAGGCGACUUUCUGGUCUAUAACUGACGCUGAGGCGCGAAAGCAUGGGGAGCAAACAGG